AAUUACUACCGUUUUCCGAUCCCUCUUGCUGAAAUGUGCAUUUACAGCUUCGUUGAGAUUGCCAUGGUGUUACUGCACCUAAACCAAAAAUAUAAAACUAUCAAGUCAAAAAACAAAAUAACGAUAAAUAUUAAGCUCAAAAAGGAAAUUACUAUGAAUAAUAACAACAAUAAUAUGGAAGAACACCAUUGUAGGCAAUCAAACUGUGAAAUUUGUUUACUUGAUGCAAUCAAUAAAUAAGAACUAUGUGUACCAACGAAAAGCCUUUAAUGAGUCGUCUACAAAUUUCACUUUGUUGAAGUGGGGAAAAAACCCAAAAAAUGUCAUAUUACAAAAGUGUAUAUACAUAUUGUAAUUGCAAACAACCAUCCAGAAAUUCAUAACCAACUCAUUGAACUUAGUUUUAUUCACACAAUAAGCAAAAUAUUAGUUCAAUCUAGGACUAAACCCCAUAACUGCAUACAGUUGUUGAUAAACUAUUAAAAUCCAAUGUCAAUCAUGUCAUCCCAGCAAAACACAUAAAAUUCGUACAACUAAAAAAUUAAGAAACCAUGAAAACGAAUAUAAUAAUGGUAAAUAUAUGAAAAAAGGUUUCAAAAUUCCUCCCACGCUAAAAUCCUUUAGUCUGCACAAUUUCAGUUAAUAAAGCAGUUAUAGAUUGAAACUGAAUUUCAUAGAAAGACAAUAUCAAAUCUAAAUAUUGAUGUUGCAGGACGCAACAACAGAGCGUAUAAUAUGAUGCAAUCAUUUCUUGUGUAUUUUCUAAGAAUACAUAUUGAUAGAUAAUAGUGAACUUCCAAAGAUGCCACACAAUUAGUUUGAGGGUGAAAAAAAAUCAUGAUUGCUGCGUGGGGUUUGACAAAAACACUUCAGGGUCUGCAUUCUCAGUCUUAUGUACAGAAUUACAUACAUCGAGAAUUAAACACGCCGAACAACAUUUAUGCAAAGCAGACAAUGAAGACAAAAUAUUACUAUUUUCACCUUGUAAAAAUUACAUGUUGAAAACAAUUUGGUCGUUCAAAACAUACUGUAAAAAAAAAUUGAAACUAAUCAAGAUAAUCAAAACUGAAAAAACAAAACGAAAAGCUAUAUACAGAAAACCGGCUAUCCACAUAAAAAAUUGCAAAAUUGAGAGAAUCUCGUUAAAGGUUAUUUAUGAUACUCUCACCUAUACGGUAGAAAAUUUUAAAGUGUCAAUAAACUGAACUACUGAAAACAAAAGGAGGGAAAAAAUUCAUAAUACGCAAGAAAAUUUAUUAAAAAAAAUUACCAGCGAAAAAAUUUAUAAAAAAGACAGUAUACACAUACCUCAUUUUUCAACAUACUUCAUUGUUUAGCUCCCUGACAUCAAGUUAUGGAGGCAGCGACCCUUUUGAACCGAAUCAUCUUUGAAUUCAUAAAAACAAAAAAAAAACAUCUCAUUAAAAUAGCCUUAUAUCCAUAAAAAAUUCCACCAAAGACACACACACGAAGCAUCAUAAAUGGAUUCAAAGAAAAGGAAUUACCAAAAAAAAUUUAACUCCUCAAUAGUGGACAGAAAAAGAAUACAUCGAACAUGGAAUUGAAGAAUUUUGUUUUUGCAAAAUUCAACUUUCAUCAUAUGAAAAAAGAAAAAAAAAAUUAUAAUCAAAUAAUGCUUAAAAUAACCAUAGACAACAUCCUAAAUAAUUAAUGUAGAAUUGAAAUUACACUAAUAAAAUUAUGCACAUCCCAGAAAAACCGAUCAAUCACCACCAACUUCAUAUUCUCUGGAUUAACUCGAGCAAGCUGAUUUUUUUCUUCUCUUGUAAAAUCAUAUUUCCGGAAAACCACAAUUGAAAAAUUGUGUCCGUAUGAAGUGGAGAGAAAG
rnacentral:lncRNA from 1 species